rnacentral:lncRNA from 1 species
AAUGCUCCUCCCGCGCAGCUCUUAUCCCCGUAGACUGCGGCCGAGACGGGGAGGGGGAAGCCUCGCCUGGGGGGCGGCAGUGGCCUGGGCGGCUCUCCGGCUGCUGUUGUAUGGCUGCACGUUGGCGCUACCGGACGGGAUGCUGUAUCCCCGAGAGAGCCCGUCGUGGCAGCGCAAGCAGCUGGACGGCCUCUGAAGCUUCCGCGCCGACUUCUCCGACAACCGACGCCGGGGCUUCGAGGAGCAGAGCUUCAACGACAUCGGCCAGGGCUGGCGGCUGCGGCAUUUUGUCAGCUGGUUGUGGUAUGAACGGGAGGUGACCCUGCUGGAGCGAUGGAUCCAGGACCUGUGCACAAGAGUGGUGCUGAGGAUUGGCAGUGCCCACUUCUAUGCCAUCGUGGUAUCCCAAGGGUUACUUUGUCCAGAACACAGACUUUGACUUCUUCAGCUACGCAGGACUGCUGUGGUCUCUGCUUCUAUACACGACACCCCCCACCUACAUCGAUGACGUCACCGUCACCACCGGCGUGAAGCGAGACAGUGGUGAGGGCUUCUGG